rnacentral:rRNA from 1 species
UACGAAGGGGGCUAGCGUUGCUCGGAAUCACUGGGCGUAAAGGGUGCGUAGGCGGGGCUUUAAGUCAGGGGGGAAAUCCUGGAGCUCAACUCCAGAACUGCCUUUGAUACUGAGGAUCUUGAGUUCGGGAGAGGUGAGUGGAACUGCGAGUGUAGAGGUGAAAUUCGUAGAUAUUCGCAAGGACACCAGUGGCGAAGGCGGCUCACUGGCCCGGUACUGACGCUGAGGUGCGAAAGCGUGGGGAGCAAACAGG